rnacentral:rRNA from 1 species
CGGGGGGGCAAGCGUUGUUCGGAAUUACUGGGCGUAAAGGGCGCGUAGGCGGUCUGUUAAGUCGGAUGUGAAAACUCUGGGCUCAACCCAGAGCCUGCAUCCGAAACUGGCAGGCUAGAGUUCUGGAGGGGGUAGCGGAAUUCCUGGUGUAGCGGUGAAAUGCGUAGAUAUCAGGAGGAACACCGGUGGCGAAGGCGGCUACCUGGACAGAAACUGACGCUGAGGCGCGAAAGCUAGGGGAGCAAACAGGAUUAGAUACCCUGGUAGUCCUAGCCCUAAACGAUGGAUACUUGGUGUGACUGGGAUUGAAUCCAGUCGUGCCGAAGCUAACGCAUUAAGUAUCCCGCCUGGGGAGUACGGUCGCAAGGCUG